rnacentral:rRNA from 1 species
UACAGGGGGGGCAAGCGUUGUUCGGAAUUACUGGGCGUAAAGGGCUCGUAGGUGGCCAACUAAGUCAGACGUGAAAUCCCUCAGCUUAACUGGGGAACUGCGUCUGAUACUGGAUGGCUUGAGUUUGGGAGAGGGAUGCGGAAUUCCAGGUGUAGCGGUGAAGUGCGUAGAUAUCUGGAGGAACACCGGUGGCGAAGGCGGCAUCCUGGACCAAUACUGACACUGAGGAGCGAAAGCCAGGGGAGCAAACGGG